UCCUCCUUAGCUCAGUCGGUAGAGCGCGUGACUGUUAAUCACGAUGCCGUUGGUUCAAGUCCAACAGGGGGAGCCA
rnacentral:tRNA from 6 species